AGCGAACGCUGGCGGCAGGCCUAACACAUGCAAGUCGAACGAAGCCUUCGGGCUUAGUGGCGGACGGGUGAGUAACACGUGGGAACGUACCUUUUGGUUCGGAACAACUCAGGGAAACUUGAGCUAAUACCGGAUGAGCCCUUAGGGGGAAAGAUUUAUCGCCGAAAGAGCGGCCCGCGUUAGAUUAGCUAGUUGGUGAGGUAAAGGCUCACCAAGGCAACGAUCUAUAGCUGGUCUGAGAGGAUGAUCAGCCACACUGGGACUGAGACACGGACCAGACUCCUACGGGAGGCAGCAGUGGGGAAUCUUGCGCAAUGGGCGAAAGCCUGACGCAGCCAUGCCGCGUGAAUGAUGAAGGUCUUAGGAUUGUAAAAUUCUUUUAGCAGGGACGAUAAUGACGGUACCUGCAGAAAAAGCCCCGGCUAACUUCGUGCCAGCCGCCGCCGUAAGAC
rnacentral:rRNA from 1 species